GCGAGCCUACCCUGCCAGUCCAGUGUCCAUACCCCGUGCUCAGGAGGCCGCUAUGUGUACAGUAGUCUGCACAUUGGUUAGGCUUGGCCUGGGCCAGCA
rnacentral:pre_miRNA from 1 species